GGCGGACGGGUGAGUAACGCGUGGAUAACCUGCCUCAUACAGGGGGAUAACAGUUAGAAAUGACUGCUAAUACCGCAUAAGCGCACAGGACCGCAUGGUCCGGUGUGAAAAACUCCGGUGGUAUGGGAUGGAUCCGCGUCUGAUUAGCCAGUUGGCGGGGUAACGGCCCACCAAAGCGACGAUCGGUAGCCGGCCUGAGAGGGCGGACGGCCACAUUGGGACUGAGACACGGCCCAAACUCCUACGGGAGGCAGCAGUGGGGAAUAUUGCACAAUGGGGGAAACCCUGAUGCAGCGACGCCGCGUGAGUGAAGAAGUAUUUCGGUAUGUAAAGCUCUAUCAGCAGGGAAGAAAAUGACGGUACCUGACUAAGAAGCCCCGGCUAACUACGUGCCAGCAGCCGCGGUAAUACGUAGGGGGCAAGCGUUAUCCGGAUUUACUGGGUGUAAAGGGAGCGUAGACGGCGCUGCAAGUCCGGAGUGAAAGCCCAUGGCUUAACCAUGGUACUGCUCUGGAAACUGUGGAGCUUGAGUGCGGGAGGGGCAGGCGGAAUUCCUAGUGUAGCGGUGAAAUGCGUAGAUAUUAGGAGGAACACCGGCGGCGAAGGCGGCCUGCUGGACCGUAACUGACGUUGAGGCUCGAAAGCGUGGGGAGCAAACAGGAUUAGAUACCCUGGUAGUCCACGCCGUAAACGAUGAUUACUAGG
rnacentral:rRNA from 1 species